UUAGCCCACAAGUAUUAAAGGUCCUGCCUGCCCAGUGACCCAAUUAAACGGCCGCGGUACCCUAACCGUGCAAAGGUAGCGUAAUCACUUGUCCUUUAAAUGAGGACCUGUAUGAACGGCUAAAUGAGGGCCCAACUGUCUCCUGCAGCCACCCAAUGAACCUGAUCUCCCAGUACAAAAGCUGGGAUACACAUAUAAGACGAGAAGACCCUGUGGAUCUUAAAACACACCAACUACCAUCCACACGGACUCCGCCAGUAGUAAUGUUUUUAGUUGGGGCGACUAUGGAGCAAAACAAAACCUCCACGAACUAAGGCUAACACCAAACCAAAGGAACACCCACCAAUACAACCUUGACCCAGCAUAGCUGACCACCGAACCAAGUUACCCCAGGGAUAACAGCGCCAUCCCCUUACAGAGUCCAUAUCGCCAAGGGGGCUUACGACCUCGAUGUUGGAUCAGGACACCCAGGCGGCGCAGCAACUGCCAACGGUUCGUUUGUUCAACGACUAAUGUCCUACGUGAUCUGAGUUCAGACCGGCU
rnacentral:rRNA from 1 species